ensembl:lncRNA
AUGGUUUUUACUGCAAUGCAUCUUGGGAGUCGUAGUAAAUGGAUCUUUCAACUCACGGUCCAGCGAAUUUUUCGACUCGACACGAGGCAGAUCUUAGCUAGGUAAGUUGUGAUAAACUGUGGGUAAUUUGCAUGUUCACUGAAAUAUUAAUCAGCUGAUAUUAAACUUGAAAUGUUUUCACAGAGCAGUCUGUGUACCAAGAGAACUACUUCUGCAAAGAAAUUACAAAGCCAAAAACCCAAACCAUGCCCUUCCUGUCAGGCUCCAAACACCUGCAACAGGAAGACAUGCAGUGGAUGCCUGGGCAGCCUGAACGUAAAGGAGGGAUUGAAAAAAAAAAACAAGAACAGCAACUGGGCUGCCUCUGUUAAAAAAAAAAAACAAAACAGAAAUGCGAGCAGGGUGGUUAAUUCAGCCCAGUUAUCAGUAAGGUUUCAAAACUACAUGCCCUGGGCUUCCAGCCAAUUCUGUUUCUUGGACAGUUUGACCGAAAGGGCCGUAUAGUAGGGGACGUGAUCACAUAGAGCCAGCGGAUGGUGCUGCAUGUGACAUCCUCAUGAAGAUGAGGAAACUUUAUGAACACCUUCUGAGAAAAUUACAAGCUUCACCUCCUGCUAAAAGUUCUACACCAGCAGCUGGACCAUCCUCUGCUGACAGUGUCGAUGCUGGACCAGUCCCAGACCCAGAGGCUCUAAACGAGGAAUUUAUUCUUCAUUUAGAGCCUGAACCAACAUCUUCCCUCUGUCAGCCUCCUGUAUCCUCCUCUUCAUCUCUGCUUCCUCCUGCAUCCUCCUCUUCAUCUCUGCUUCCUCCUGCAUCCUCCUCUCCGUCUCUGCUUCCUCCUGCAUCCUCCUCUCCGUCUCCGCUUCCUCCUGCAUCCUCCUCUUCAUCUCCGCUUCCUACAUUUCCCUCAAUUUCUACGGCGUACACCUCGGAUGUCCAAAACAAAAAAAGGACAAGGAAAGAAUGCCGAAAACACCGUACACAGAAGAUUUUCAAAUAUGAAGAGAUAGUAGACAGGAGAGUUGUAAAUGAAAAAGAAGUUAAAGUCAAGUGGAAGCCCUGCUCGAUAUGGUAUGUAGUAACAACAUUGUUGGACCGGAAC